AUGCUUUUUGCUGUGCAAUAUGCAUUUUGCUAUCCGCCUUUUUUGAUCACCUUCGAAAAUAUAGUUUAACAUGUGACUAUCCCUGAACGAAUCAAAUAAGUUAAAAUAUACGAAUUAAUAAUACUGAGUAAGAUAAAUAAAAUGUAGAGAAAAGUGACAUAACAAUUUAAAGAAUACAGAAAUAAACACCGCCCCCAUCCGGACCCUCAUGGUAUACACGAGAAUCUGGAUGGAGACGCAGAAUAUAGAAUAGUAGAUAAGGACAGUAGAGAUUGAUGCAUUGCUAAAAAAGAGAGAAAAAUAAUAAUUGUUUAAGAAUAC
rnacentral:lncRNA from 1 species